rnacentral:rRNA from 1 species
ACGGCCAUAUCACGUUGAAACACCAGUCUCAUACGAUCAUCAAAGUUAAGCAACGUCGAGCCUGGUCAAUACCUAGAUGGGUGACAGCUUGGGAAUACCAGAUGCUGUAA